UUUUCNGCAAGAUAGAGUUUGAUCCUGGCUCAGGAUGAACGCUGGCGGCGUGUCUAAGGCAUGCAAGUCGAGUGGGUUUAGACCCACGGCAAACGGGUGCGUAACACAUUGGUAACUUACCCCGAAGUCAUGAAUAAGCUUGCGAAAGCGAGUCUAAUACAUGAUGGUGGUGAGGGGACUCAAGUCAUUCUCACUUAAAGAUUUAUUGCUUCGGGAAAGGCCUAUGGCUUAUCAGCUAGUUGGUGAGGUAAUGGCUCACCAAGGCUAUGACGAGUAGCGGGAUUGAGAGAUCGACCCGCCUCACUGGGACUGAGACACUGCCCAGACUCCUACGGGAGGCUGCAGUCAAGAAUAUUCCCCAAUGGCCGAAAGGCUGAGGGAGCGACGCCGCGUGUAUGAAGAAACCCUUCGGGGUGUAAAGUACUUUUAACUGGGACGAAACAAUGACGGUACCAGUUGAAUAAGGGGCUGCUAAACUCGUGCCAGCAGCAGCGGUAAUACGAGUGCCCCAAGCGUUAUCCGGAUUUAUUGGGCGUAAAGCGUACGUAGGUGGUUUAUCGCAUCUCCUGUUAAAUCCCGAGGCUCAACUUCGGGGCUGCGGGAGAGAUGGCUAAACUAGAGACCGGGAGAGGUAAGCGGAAUUGCUGGUGUAGGGGUUAAAUCCGUUAAUAUCANCAAGAACACCUAAUGUGAAGACNGCUUUACUAGAACGGUUCUGACA
rnacentral:rRNA from 1 species